CUUUUAGUCUGCACCCUGUGAGAAUUGCCACGGAAAUGAUCCAGAAGAAGAUUUGGUGUUGAUGGAGGAGGCAACAUCUUCAAGGCAAAACCUUAGACCUCAUUCAACAUCAUCCAAUGUUGCAAUCACCCUCAGGAGUGAGGAGGAUGUGAUUGGUCAUGCAGCAGCACAGAUAAACACCACAAAGACAUCUGAAAUCUGUCACGAGAUAACACGUCUGAAGUUGUAGAAACGUCAAAAACAGGAAGCCCCAUCUGUCCCUUGAAAAUCACCUUCCUUUG